rnacentral:rRNA from 1 species
AGAACGAACGCUGGCGGCGUGGAUAAGACAUGCAAGUCGAGCGCAAUACUUAUUGUAGCAAUACAGUGAGUGUUGAGCGGCGCAAGGGUGCGUAACACGUGGGUAAUUUGCCGUGAAGUUGGGGAUAACUCGCUGAAAGGCGAGCUAAUACCGAAUGUGGAGCGAGAGUGCAUCACUUUUUUCCAAGCUGGGAUCGUAAGACCUGGCGCUUCAUGAGUAACGCCCCGCCGGCCUAUCGAGCUUAGGUGGUGA